rnacentral:tRNA from 2 species
GGGCGGGUAGCUCAGUGGGAGAGCAUCGGCCUUACAAGCCGGGGGUCACAGGUUCAAAUCCUGUUCCGCCUACCA